UACAGAGGUCUCAAGCGUUGUUCGGAUUCAUUGGGCGUAAAGGGUGUGUAGGUGGCGCGCUAAGUCGGGUGUGAAAUUUCGGAGCUUAACUCCGAAACUGCAUUCGAUACUGGCGUGCUUGAGGACUGGAGAGGAGACUGGAAUUCAUGGUGUAGCAGUGAAAUGUGUAGAGAUCAUGAGGAAGACCAGUGGCGAAGGCGACUUCCUGGCCUGUUCUUGACGCUGAGGCGCGAAAGCUAGGGGAGCAAACGGG
rnacentral:rRNA from 1 species